rnacentral:rRNA from 1 species
UACGGGAGGCAGCAGUGGGGAAUAUUGCACAAUGGGCGCAAGCCUGAUGCAGCCAUGCCGCGUGUAUGAAAAAGGCCUUCGGGUUGUAAAGUACUUUCAGUCGUGAGGAAGGUGUUAAGGUUAAUAACCUUAGCAAUUGACGUUAGCGACAGAAGAAGCACCGGCUAACUCCGUGCCAGCAGCCGCGGUAAUACGGAGGGUGCGAGCGUUAAUCGGAAUUACUGGGCGUAAAGGGCACGCAGGCGGUUAAUUAAGUUGGAUGUGAAAUCCCCGGGCUUAACCUGGGAAUGGCAUUCAAGACUGGUUAGCUAGAGCCUUGUAGAGGGGGUAGAAUUCCAUGUGUAGCGGUGAAAUGCGUAGAGAUGUGGAGGAAUACCGGUGGCGAAGGCGGCCCCUGGACAAAGACUGACGCUCAUGUGCGAAAGCGUGGGGAGCAAACAGGGAUUAGAUACC